UACUCUGAUGAUGUUAUCAAAGGAAUUGUAGUGUUAAUGUUCAACGCCGGAUCGGAUACUUCACCGGUGACAAUGGAAUGGGCAAUGGCGCUUUUACUGAACCAUCCAGAUAAGCUUGACAAGGUCAGAGAAGAAAUCAAAUCUAAUGUUAAACACAAAGGGAUUAUACAAGACUCGGAUCUCUCAAGCUUACCUUAUCUUCGAUGUGUCAUCUAUGAGACGCUUAGGCUACACCCUGCAGCUCCUAUCUUGCCUCCUCACUGUUCAUCCAAGAGAUUCAACUUAGGCAACUACGAGAUCCCUGAAAAUACAGUGUUGUUGGUGAAUG
rnacentral:lncRNA from 1 species